rnacentral:lncRNA from 1 species
AUGAGGACUCUGGUCAACAUGCAAAUGUACCUGAGGUGUCCUCCAUCACUGAUUGGAAAAAUAAGGUGUGUGUGUUACUUCAUAUGUGAGCACCAACAGGAGGCCGUGCAGCACCAUCACUGGGAAAGGAGUUUGAUUCACCAUCAGAAUGGGAGUUAAGUAGGUAAGUGAGAAGAAUUUUGAAUGUCAGAGGGAGAAAGGUAGAAAUGGCAGGGGAAAUGUAAUCUCGUUUAUGAAACAGGAAAUGGAGCAUUUAAUAAAUCUCAAAUGAACAUAGCUUGUCCUCACAAACUGCUUAGACUUACAGAAGUUUUGUUUCAGUGUGUUGAUUGCUUGCGCAGAUGCAUGCAGUACAGGGAAGAGCUAACCAAGAAGCAGGUUGGGAAAGAGGCAUGAGUAGAAGUGGGACGGUGGCCUCUGACUGAUAGGGAGAAAUGGUUUCUGUUUCCCUGUUGGGUUUUGUGGCCACAAAGCACAGCAAGAGGCCGAAUCCAGCUGUAAUCAAAUACCUCAAACUUUCCCUCCAUUUAUCUAUGUGUAGCAAGGAUAUGUAUGAAAAAUUAUAGGUUCUACCCCAAGUC